rnacentral:rRNA from 1 species
AGUAAUGUCUGGGAAACGGCCUGAUGGAGGGGGGUAACUACUGGAAACGGUAGCUAAUACCGCAUAACGUCGCAAGACCAAAGUGGGGGACCUUCGGGCCUCAUGCCAUCAGAUGUGCCCAGAUGGGAUUAGCUAGUAGGUGGGGUAACGGCUCACCUAGGCGACGAUCCCUAGCUGGUCUGAGAGGAUGACCAGCCACACUGGAACUGAGACACGGUCCAG